rnacentral:tRNA from 1 species
GUCCUUGUAGCUUACAACAAAGCAUAACACUGAAGAUGUUAAGACGGUCGCCGCAAACACCCAAGGACA